rnacentral:rRNA from 1 species
AGACAGGUGCUGCAUGGCUGUCGUCAGCUCGUGUUGUGAAAUGUUGGGUUAAGUCCCGCAACGAGCGCAACCCUUAUCCUUUGUUGCCAGCGGUCCGGCCGGGAACUCAAAGGAGACUGCCAGUGAUAAACUGGAGGAAGGUGGGGAUGACGUCAAGUCAUCAUGGCCCUUACGACCAGGGCUACACACGUGCUACAAUGGCAUAUACAAAGAGAAGCGACCUCGCGAGAGCAAGCGGACCUCAUAAAGUAUGUCGUAGUCCGGAUUGGAGUCUGCAACUCGACUCCAUGAAGUCGGAAUCGCUAGUAAUCGUAGAUCAGAAUGCUACGGUGAAUACGUUCCCGGGCCUUGUACACACCGCCCGUCACACCAUGGGAGUGGGUUGCAAAAGAAGUAGGUAGCUUAACCUUCGGGAGGGCGCUUACCACUUUGUGAUUCAUGACUGGGGUGAAGUCGUAACAAGGUAACCGUAGGGGAACCUGCGGUUGGAUCACCUCCUUACCUUAAAGAA